GAUGAACGCUGGCGGCGUGCCUAAUACAUGCAAGUCGAGCGAACAGACGAGGAGCUUGCUCCUCCGACGUUAGCGGCGGACGGGUGAGUAACACGUGGAUAACCUACCUAUAAGACUGGGAUAACUUCGGGAAACCGGAGCUAAUACCGGAUAAUAUAUUGAACCGCAUGGUUCAAUAGUGAAAGACGGUUUUGCUGUCACUUAUAGAUGGAUCCGCGCCGCAUUAGCUAGUUGGUAAGGUAACGGCUUACCAAGGCAACGAUGCGUAGCCGACCUGAGAGGGUGAUCGGCCACACUGGAACUGAGACACGGUCCAGACUCCUACGGGAGGCAGCAGUAGGGAAUCUUCCGCAAUGGGCGAAAGCCUGACGGAGCAACGCCGCGUGAGUGAUGAAGGUCUUCGGAUCGUAAAACUCUGUUAUUAGGGAAGAACAAAUGUGUAAGUAACUAUGCACGUCUUGACGGUACCGAAUCAGAAAGCCACGGCUAACUACGU
rnacentral:rRNA from 1 species